GUCAUUGUUCCUUGUCUCCAUUGUUCACGUAUGUGAAAACAACUGUAAGCUCUUCUCGUAGAAGGGGUGAAACAUGCCCGGAGGCAAUCGCCUUUCCUCAAGUGCAGCGACUUCCAACUUGACAGCACAUUCACCAUAGACACGGAAGUUUGUGAUUUCAGAUUAGCCCUCCUGUACCAUUGCCCGGAUUCUGUUUAUGACCUCCUGCCUGCCCUGACAUAGAGUCCUGCAAAGCCCUUCUGUACUUCUGCCUGUAUAUUUUGGAACAACUGUGUAUGACCACUGCCUGCCCUCGGACCUAAUCCUCAUUUACUUGUCCUUGUUGGCGCUAAAUAAACACUACA